rnacentral:sRNA from 1 species
AUAAUUAUUUAUUUGUCAUUUUAAAUUUAGAAGACCCGCCAAAUUUAAACGUAGAUAUAACGGAUUUUUCAAAGUUUAUAUAAUGUAAAGAAAUAAGUAUAAGGUUUGGUUUAAUUAAUAUACUUUAAUAAAUUAUACGAUACUUUUCCACUAUAACUUUUCAAAUUAUAAAAACCCAGGGACCCAAAUAAUUACAAAAUUAUAUUUCAGCCCAGAUUUAAAAAUAAGGAGGAUUGGGACGUGGAAAAUAUAAAGAAUAUAUAUUAAAAAUAAAUUUAUUUAUUAUUUCGUCAAAUGGUUUAUUUAGCCAACCAAAUAUAAUUAAUCAAAACCCGAAAAAAAGUUAUUUGCAAAAAUGAAAAUGAAAUAGUUUUUACAAAACUAAUCCAAAAAGGUCAAAUUAAAAGGGAAACUAUUAUUAUAAAAUAGAAACGCAGGGAUUAAAUACACGAAAUGCAAAACAAAACGAAAUUUUUCCGAACAUAAUUAAUAUUAACAAAUUAUAUAUGAAACAAAACCGAAACCAAACCUAAAGUUAAUUUUAACGUUUGUUGGAUAAUUUUGAAAGAAAUACCAAAAGCGUUUUUUUGGGAAAUAUUCUGAUCAAAAAUCAAUUCCGUCUAAUAUUAUUUAAAAAAGAGUAUAAAACGCGAAGAAUUACCCUAUUGGUAAAAAACCACCAUUUAAUUAAAAUAUAAAGCGAAACCAAAAUAACGGAAUUUCUUUUAAAAUGUGGGAAUUUAAACUUUUUAAUAAAACGGCGAAAUAAUUAAUUAACCACAGUUUUAGCGCCGGAGAUGCGGGUAAAUUUAUUUAAGGCGGUAAACCUGCGUUUCUAUAUUUUUUAAUUAACGUCUUUUUAAUUAAAUGUGAUAAUAACGCUAGAUUUUAAAAUAAAUAAAAUACCCGUUGAAAAAAAGUAAUUGGAGAGGAACCGCCAAAUGUUCCAAAUUAAUUAGGGACGAGAGAACUCAUAUAAAUUUAAAUUUAAAUAGGCGCAAAAAAGGACUUAGUUGUGAAAGAAACCAAAUAUAUUAUCCAGAACAAAAAUAUUAUUAUUACUAUUAUUAACGGGUAUAAAAUCGCGUGAAAAACAAUUGAAUCCCACUAAUGUUAUUUUUUAUUAUUUUUAAUAUAAUAAUAUUCUUUCGAAUUCUAUAUUUAUUAUUUAAAAUACGCGGCAAUGGCGAAAGAAAAACCUAAACUAGAAAAGCCGCCAAAGUAUAAAACACGAUAUAUUACUAAACCGUUUGGAAAAAAAGGGGGUCAAUCGAAAAAUUCCUCAAAUAAAAACGAUGAAAUUCAUUAAAUUAAAAAAUACUUUUUGUAAUUCCAGCGUCAUAAUUUUUAACCAUGUCAAUUUUGUUUCAAAUAGGCAAAUUGUUAAUUUUAUUUUAAAUAGGCCAGUCAGGCUAUAACGUUUGCGUUUUAAAUUUCAAAGUUCGGUAAAUAAUAUAAAAUCUACUAAAACCCCAUAUAAUUUUUCACAUUUUUCCAAUAAACUUUAACCACCGUUAAAUUGGGUGAUAAAAUCCAUAAUAUUGAAAAAUAAAAGAAAUCGACGAAAUGACCGUUUACAAUUGCAAUUGUUUAAUAUAAAUUAAUUAAACGAAUUGUAAUGGGUAAAAUAUAAAAAAGCGCAAAAAUAAUACAAGUUACGAAUUCGCGAAUAUGAAACUUUUUUCAUUGUAAAAGUAAAAUUUAUUUAUUUUACCCGUUUUAAAAAACUUUUUUUGGUAUCAUUUAAAGUGGGGGAAAUAUUUGGUAUUUUGAGCGAUUUGAGCAAUGUAAUAAAAAACCUUUAUAUAAUUAAUACGGUUAUUAAUAAUGUUAAAAUUAACGUUGAUGAAAGUAAAAAUCUGGGGGCGUCGGGUAUUUUUUGGUUAAAUUUGCCGCAAAACCAGGUGCAAAAUAUAUAAAAAAGCCGAUUAUGAAAAGUUAAUAUAAUUUAACAAAGCGCGACUAAAAUGCAAAAAUAACGCGUGUAAGAAAUUAAUAGCAUUUCGCAUUAAAAAUAGAAAUAAAAAAGGAAAGUUCAAUUAAAACCUUUUCUGUUAAAAAUUAAAAAAAUAAUUAAUAUAUAAACUAAGUGGGUUUUAUAAAUUUUGAACGUUAUAAACCAUUUUUUGUAACAAAUACCACCUAUUACUAAUAGCAAUUUACGCAGAAUAAUUGCAUUUUAUUUGUAUUUGCUGAAAGUUACCCCGUUUUAUACUUAAAACUAUUAUUUAGGACAAAAAUAUUUUUUAUUAAAAGGGGAUAAUGAUUACGUGCAAAUUUAUUAAUAUUUAAAUAUUAGCGUAUAACUUUCAAAGUUAAAUUUUGCUAAACUUGUAAGUUUGCGUUACGUAAACGCAAUGGGAAUAUUAUUUAUAAAUAGGAGAUUUUAAAUUUUAAAAGUUGCGAAUUAAUUUUAAAUUCAAAUGCUAUUAUUAUAAUAUUAUCUUGGAUUAAUAUACGGUAUAUUAUUACUGUAUAUUCUUUUAAUUAAUAUAUAUUUAGCCUGUACCCAGUCGCCGGUCGUAACAAUUAAAACUCCUGUAAAUUCAACUUUUAUUUAAUAAAUUUUAAAACAUCCAAUUAUUUCGUUAAUUAAUUAUUAAUUUCUUUUUGCAAUUAUCGGAUUUUUGUUAACCUAAUAUCAACAGUUCCAUUUAUAUUUAUUAUAAACAAGUCGAUUAUUAAACCGUUUAUACCAAUUUUAUACCAAAAAUAAGCUCCAUAUUUGAAAAAUACGCGUUUUGGGCGAUUUACCAAUUCGAAACACCUUAUAUAUUAUAUUUAUUUCAAGUUUUUAAUAACGAGUAACCAAAUUAAUUAUUUGGUCUAAUAAUUAGUUCCGUACAUUAUAAUUCGUAAAUUGCAAAUUCAAAUGUGGGGAUUAUUACAAAGUUUGAGAAUUUCUUUAAAUUUAGGGGUCCGUUUAAUUUGGGGUUAAUUUAAUUAAAUGGUUUGGUAUAAAGGGUUUAAUUAUCCAGGGGCUCGUAUUAGGGGUUUGAACUGGGUUGGAAUAUAAGAGGGAAUUUCUUUUUUUUUAUAAUUUCUUUUCCUAUUUUAUUUUGGAUUAAAUGGUAAAAAAAAGGGAGUGUAAAUUAUAUAUAUUAUUUUGUAUAAAACAAGUCUAGUUUCAUUUGUAUUUAAUUACUAAUAUAGAGCGCCAAUAUGGGGUUAUUAGAAUUCAAUUAAUUUAUUAUAUAUAAAAAUUGCAAUUUAAAAGUUAGUAAAUGGGAUUAAUUAUUUUAUAUAGGGUUUAAUACCCAUUUUGCACCUACGAGUUAAUUACCCUAUACCGGGUUAAAAUUCUUACCAAACUCGCACUUAAAGGCAAACCCAAAAAUGGUUUUUAUACAAGUAAUAGUAUUUUUUUAAAAACCUAUAUAAAUUAAUUUUUCGGAAAACCAUUUGCGGCACCGGACGUUUUUUUUGGCGUACCGACCCCCAUUUUAAUAUUGGAGGGUAUGUAAGGGAAAAACCCAAAAUUCCCCCCAACUAAUAUAACCAAUUUUUCCAAAUUUUAAUAUAUUUUUACCUUCAAUUUACAGGGCAUUUUCACUAUUAUUAUAAAGCUUUCACCCCUGGUUGGAACUACGCCGUACCUAAGGUCUAUUUUUAAACUUUGAUUAGCACAUUUAUACAUUUAAUAUAAUUAAUAACUAUAUGUAAAGAAAGAAGGGUUUAAUAUAUAUAAAAUAAUAUAUAUAGUUUAUAUCCUGCUUUCUUCAUUUAAUCCGGAGUAAAAUUAGGAAAGGAAUUUAUAUACUAUAAAUAAUUUCAAAAGAAUUUUAAUUGGAAAAUAUAGCAAAAGUUCCUCUUUUAAAUUUAAGCCCAAUUUGAGUUUUUGAUUUGAAACAAUUAAAAUAAAUAAACAUCUCAAGCAAAACUUUUAAUUAAAUUAAGCCCCAAAUUAAAUCAAUGCCCCAAUUGUAAAAAUUCCCCGAAGGUAUAAUAAUCCCCAAGUUUUAAUUUCUAAUUUACGAAUUAUAACCCACGGGAUUAAACAUUAGACCAAUUGAUAAAUUUACGUAUUUAUUAUAAGAGGUUUCCAAACAGAUUUAAUAUAUGAAAUGUUUUGAAUUAAUAAAUUACUCAAAACGUAUAUUCUUCGAAUAUAGUUUUAGUUUCGGGUAAUGGUUUAAUAUAAACGGUUUAAUAAUUAAACCGUAUAUAAUAGGUAUAAAUAAAAUGGCUGGUAUUGGGUUUAUAGGAAUUUAAUAAUUGCAAAAAAGGAAUUAAUUAACAAAUUAACUGGGUAUUUUAAAGUUUGGUAAAUAAUAAUUAAAUAAUCAAAUUUUUUAAUUUUAUAAAUUUUUAAUUAUUUUUAUAAUUUGGUAUAUUAGGGGUUUUAAAAGUAAUAAAACCAUAAACCUGUAUUAAAUAUUUAAAUAAUACGUAAAAUAAAAUAUUUUACUUAUAAAACCUAUAUUAUUUCCAAAUAUUACAAUGGGGUUUUUAUUGAAAAUUUAAUUUUAUAAAGAAGUUUUUAAACCAUUAUAUUUUACGCAGGGCUUCCGUUAAAAUAUUAGUAUUGGGUUUUGGGGCAUUUAAAAUUAUAAUAUUAGUUUAAUUACAUUUUUACAUUGUAAAACCACCAAAUAAAAAAAAAUAUAUAUCCUUAAAUAAACCUUAAGUCUUCCCCAGCCCGGAUGAAAUUGCUAUUAUUAAAACCAAGUAAUUUUGAAUUUGCAAAACCCCCAAUUAAUAAAACAAAUGGUAGUUUAAAUUUAAAAAUCCUAUUUUACUGAUAAAUUAUUAGGGUUUUAAUACCAAGUCAGUAAGAUAAUAAAUUUUAAUUGUUAUUAAAUAAAUUAUAGUAGUUUUUAUUAAAAUACGCAUUGUUUAUUAAACCGGAAAACUAAUAUUCGGGCGUUUUACUAAUAUUAAAUAUAUUAAAAUAGCACUAAUACGUUUCAACAGUUUAAUUUCGAAGAUAUUUACGGGUUUAUUUUUAUUAUAUUAUAAUACACCUGGUUACUAAAUAAUAAAAGCAAAUUUGCAAUUAAUUAAUCCGAACGUUACUAAAAUUUCUUUUAAAUAUUAAUUCUAAUAAAGUUAAAAUAGGCGGUUGGUUUUAUUCUUUAUAAUUUGAACGUUUAAAAAGUAAAUUGCAAGGCCUCUGUUUUUCAUUGGUAUAUUUAACUUAAAAGGGGUCUUGAAUCUUAAAUAUGCUACAAUUUAAAAUACAUUAGCGAUUAAAUCCUAAUGUAAAUAAUAAUAAAAUAUUUGGAAUUAAUAUAAUAAUAGACGGUGGGAUGAAAAAUUAGCGGUUUAAAACUCUUUUUUAAAAAUAGGUUUUUUAACGUCGAUUACCAUUUCUUUAGGUACUGUUUUAAACUAUAUAAUUCCUUUUCCAAUUGUACAAUUUGAAUUCUUUUUCGGAUUUGAACCCAUUUGUCUUAGGAAUCUCAACUAUAGUAAAAUUAUAAAAUGUAACCUAUAUUACGACCGGGGAUAAAUACAGGUUUAAUAUACGCUGGUUAGUAUAUAAUAGGGUAAUAUAAUAGCGUAUAAUUAAUUAUAAUCAGAGUAUAAUAAUAACAUUUAGAUUGAAAAUUAAUUUCCAAGAAUUUAUAUUUAAUUUGCAACUUUUAACAUUUAGGAACCUUUAUUUAUAAGUGGCGUUUUUAUUAUAUUCAUAUAAUGCGAACUUACGAAUUUGGCAAAAUUUAAUCCUUAGAAUUAUACAUUAAUACUUAGAAACUAACUAAUAAAUUUGCACGUAAUAAUUAUCACCCCCUAAUGGGGACGUUGUUAUUGUAAGUAGCAAUUUGAAAUAUAAGGCGGGUAGCCCGUAAUAAAUAAAAAUAAAAUGCAAUAAUUCCGCAGUGGUUUUUAUUAAAAAUAAAAAGGUGUUUUAGUCCAAAAAAUAAAUUAUAACGUUAAUAACUUAUUAGUUUUAUUUAUUUACACGUCCAACAUUUUCUAAGUUUUAACGACAAAUCUUUUAAUAAAAUUUCUUUUUUAUUUUGUUUCCCAAUACGAAAUAUUAUUAAUCUGUCAUUCGCGUUGGUUUGCUAUUAUGGUCGCGUUUAUUUUAUAUUAAAUUAGUUUUCUAUUAUCGGCUCUUAUUAUAUUUUUUAAACCUGGUUCUCCUGCAAAUAUAUUUUAAAAGAAUGUUUGCAUUUCCCAAACGGUGUUUUAUUAAGGUUAAUAUUAGUAUAAUUUAAAACGUUAUUAGUUAUAUAAAACAGCUCCGUAAUAUAAUUUAAAUAUAUAAAAAUAUUAAGAAUUCCCCUAAUUUUAAAUAUGUUUGAAAAAAGGUUUUUAAAAGGAGUUAAAUAAAGAAACUUCAAUUUUCUUAUUAAAAUAACUUUUGUAUUUGGAAAUUGGUAAAUUAUAUUAUUUAUAUAUUUUUUAUAAUUUACUUAUUUGCUAUUUAUUCAAUUUAUAUUAGGCGACUGCGAUUAUUAAAAGUAAUUUUGUAAUUCUUUUUAUAUAUUUAAUAUUAUUAAUUUCGCUAUUUAAUCUAACGCCGGUAAGAAUAUAUUCAAUAAUACUAACUAUUAUAUAGCAUCUUAUUUACUAUAUAUAUUGAUUGCGGCUUUUAAAUAAGCUUAAAACGGUUAUUAAUUAUUAUUUAAAGCUAAGGAAAUUAGGUUUCUUCCUUUUGUAAAUCAUAACGUUUCUAUUAAGAAAUAUCUCAAUUAAUUCCUUUCUUUCUAAGCAAAAUAAUAGCGUAUCGCAUUAUAUAUUGUCGCGGCUUUGUUAAUUUACGCUCUUAUUUUUUAUUGCCGCGCUUUUUAAAUAACAAAUAUUAAACUUGAAAGAAUGUAGGAAUUAUAAAAAUAAUAAACAAUGGUGUUAAUAGGAAUCGUAUAACUGCUGCGAUCGGUAAAAAUAAUGUAACAAAUUGAACAUAAAUUAAUCUCUGUUUUUUAACUAUUUACAUACUUGUUAGAAUCGGUUGAAGAUAUUUUUACGUGUUAUAAAAUUACGUGGUUAAACACGUAAUCUGCCUACACGCAUGUCUGCCCAUAAAUUAACAAAUGGCGUAGAUAGUAAUCCACCGUGCUUUUACAUCGAUAUAUCCGUUUGUAAUAAUAAUUUUGUUCCGGAUAAAAUACCUGUUAAUUAUAUAUUUUAAUAACCAUUUAAUAAGUCCAAUUUAUUAAUAUAUAAUAUAUAACGCCCAAAUGGGGUUAUUAAAUUAUUUAUUAAUGUUGUAAUUACAGGUAUUUUAAUAGAAAAGGCAAUUAAUACCGUUAACUACCUUAUAUCGGGCUUAUUACCUAUUUUAAACCUGCCUAUUACUUACCAUAUACCGGGUUAACAAAUUGAUUUUUGCGGGGAAACCCGAAAAUAAAUUAUUAGCAAAGAAAAGUGGUUUUUUAAAAACUUAUACGAAAUAGUUUUCGAAAAUAUAUUUACAGCAACGGGAUCCUUUUGGCGUAUAAACGCCUAGUCUAAUUUUAAAAAAUAUAUUAAAAAACAAAAUAAAAUUUUCCCAAUUAAUAUAAUAAUGGUUAAAUAUUUAAAUUGUAAAAUAUUUUUAUUAUCGGUUUAAAUAUUUUAUAUUAAUUGUUAAGUCCGCCGCGUUAAGUGUCUAUUUUUAACUUUUUAUUAAUAUAAUAAUUGUUAUAAGGUUGUAAACCCGGAGCAAUUCGUAAGUAAUAUAUUAAAACAUAUUUUAUAUUACUAGAAACUUAAAUUUCAAGUUUUAUUAUGGUUGUGUUUAUUUUUUAUAAUAUAUA